GAUGAACGCUGGCGGCGUGCCUAAUACAUGCAAGUCGAGCGAACGGACGAGAAGCUUGCUUCUCUGAUGUUAGCGGCGGACGGGUGAGUAACACGUGGAUAACCUACCUAUAAGACUGGGAUAACUUCGGGAAACCGGAGCUAAUACCGGAUAAUAUUUUGAACCGCAUGGUUCAAAAGUGAAAGACGGUCUUGCUGUCACUUAUAGAUGGAUCCGCUCUGCAUUAGCUAGUUGGUAAGGUAACGGCUUACCAAGGCAACGAUGCAUAGCCGACCUGAGAGGGUGAUCGGCCACACUGGAACUGAGACACGGUCCAGACUCCUACGGGAGGCAGCAGUAGGGAAUCUUCCGCAAUGGGCGAAUGCCUGACGGAGCAACGCCGCGUGAGUGAUGAAGGUCUUCGGAUCGUAAAACUCUGUUAUUAGGGAAGAACAUAUGUGUAAGUAACUGUGCACAUCUUGACGGUACCUAAUCAGAAAGCCACGGCUAACUACGUG
rnacentral:rRNA from 1 species